rnacentral:rRNA from 1 species
UACGUAGGUGGCAAGCGUUGUUCGGAUUUACUGGGCGUAAAGCGCACGUAGGCGGAUCUUUAAGUCAGGGGUGAAAUGCCGAGGCUCAACCUCGGAACUGCCUUUGAUACUGGGGAUCUUGAGUCCGGGAGAGGUGAGUGGAACUGCGAGUGUAGAGGUGAAAUUCGUAGAUAUUCGCAAGAACACCAGUGGCGAAGGCGGCUCACUGGCCCGGAACUGACGCUGAGGUGCGAAAGCGUGGGGAGCAAACAGG